rnacentral:rRNA from 1 species
CGUACACUCCUGCGGGAGGCAGCAGUGGGGAAUAUUGGACAAUGGGCGCAAGCCUGAUCCAGCCAUGCCGCGUGAGUGAUGAAGGCCCUAGGGUUGUAAAGCUCUUUCACCGGUGAAGAUAAUGACGGUAACCGGAGAAGAAGCCCCGGCUAACUUCGUGCCAGCAGCCGCGGUAAUACGAAGGGGGCUAGCGUUGUUCGGAUUUACUGGGCGUAAAGCGCACGUAGGCGGACUAUUAAGUCAGGGGUGAAAUCCCGGGGCUCAACCCCGGAACUGCCUUUGAUACUGGUAGUCUUGAGUUCGAGAGAGGUGAGUGGAAUUCCGAGUGUAGAGGUGAAAUUCGUAGAUAUUCGGAGGAACACCAGUGGCGAAGGCGGCUCACUGGCUCGAUACUGACGCUGAGGUGCGAAAGCGUGGGGAGCAAACAGGAUUAGAAACCCUUGUAGUCCCAUG